UCCUCUUAUGACUUGCUCCUCCGGUGGUCUGGUUACUGGGAAGACAGCUCCUCCUCUCGCCUAGAGCAUUCACCUGUGAGUCAGCCUUGGCAAAGAGUAGCAAAAGGAAGCAGAGG
rnacentral:miRNA from 14 species